rnacentral:snRNA from 1 species
GGAUGUGAGGGCACUGAGGCCACGACCCCUGCCACCCCACUGACUGCUGGGUUGAUCCGGUGGGUCUGGCCGCUGAGGCAGGUGUCCCCUUCCUCCCUUCCUGAAGCCGCGCUGACUGGAGGGGACCCCCUUCCCCUACAGAGAAGGACCUCGGGCCCUGGCACACACGUGGCAGUGGCACUUGCUUGAGAACACAGGGCUGUCCAGGCCCGAGACUCCAACACAUCCAAACCAGGUGCUGCCAGUGUUUAGUCUACCUUUCUU